UACGUAGGGGGCAAGCGUUGUCCGGAUUUAUUGGGCGUAAAGAGCGUGUAGGCGGCCUUACAGGUCAGCUGUGAAAACUCGAGGCUCAACCUCGAGACGUCGGUUGAAACCGUAUGGCUAGAGUCCGGAAGAGGAGAGUGGAAUUCCCGGUGUAGCGGUGAAAUGCGCAGAUAUCGGGAAGAACACCCGUGGCGAAGGCGGGUCUCUGGGCAGUAACUGACGCUGAGGAGCGAAAGCGUGGGGAGCGAACAGG
rnacentral:rRNA from 1 species